CCUACGGGAGGCAGCAGUGGGGAAUAUUGGACAAUGGGCGCAAGCCUGAUCCAGCCAUGCCGCGUGGAUGAUGAAGGCCUUUGGGUUGUAAAGUCCUUUUAGCGGGGAAGAUAAUGCCGGUACCCGCAGAAAAAGCCCCGGCUAACUUCGUGCCAGCAGCCGCGGUAAUACGAAGGGGGCUAGCGUUGCUCGGAAUUACUGGGCGUAAAGCGCACGUAGGCGGCUCUUUAAGUCGGGGGUGGAAUCCUGGAGCUCAACUCCAGAACUGCCUUCGAUACUGAAGAGCUUGAGUCCGGGAGAGGUGAGUGGAACUGCGAGUGUAGAGGUGAAAUUCGUAGAUAUUCGCAAGAACACCAGUGGCGAAGGCGGCUCACUGGCCCGGUACUGACGCUGAGGUGCGAAAGCGCGGGGAGCAAACAGGGUUAGAUACCCUGGUAGUCCACGCCGUAAACGAUGAAUGCUAGCCGUUGGCGAGCUUGCUCGUCAGUGGCGCAGCUAACGCUUUAAGCAUUCCGCCUGGGGAGUACGGUCGCAAGAUUAAAACUCAAAGGAAUUGACGG
rnacentral:rRNA from 1 species